UUCAGGACGGGGGGAGGUGGGAGGGAAAUAGCUUAAAACCUGACCAGCAAAGUGGUCUAAAACCUGCCCCCCUGGGGCUGAGGUCCCUGUCCUGGAGGCAGGCCGAUGUCCCCAACUUAAGAAAGGGGACAAAGUUGGGUCUGCGAUUCAGCUUGAUGUUGAUACCAGAGUUACAAGGUUGGUGGAUCCGGUGAAUGCUGUGGGCGUACUGUUUCUUGAUUUCAAGGAUGUCGAAAAAGCCCUCCAUUAUAUUAUUGCAGAGAAGCUGGUAAAAUGUGGGCUGGACAAUGUUAUUGUUAGGUGGAUUUGUAUAUCGUUGACUGACCAAACCUGAAGAGUUCCUCAUCUUCCUGGGGAAAAAAAUGGAAAGUGGGAAUGCCACAGGGUUCUGUCCUGGGUCCAUGGUUGUUCAGCGUCCUUAUAAAUGACUUGGAUGAAGGUAUUGAGGGGAUGCUCAUCAGAUUUGCAGAUGACACCAUACAAGGAGGGGUAACUAUUGCCGCAGAACACAGAAUUCAAGAUGACCUUAACAGGUUGGAAAAUGGGGGCCAAACUCACAAAAUGAAUUUCAAUAGCGACAAAGGCUGUUGGGCAAUGAGUGGAGACGGAGGACAAAUUUACUUUGCUUUGCAUCUUAAGUGAAAAGAAACUCUUCUGGAUUUGCAUUUCUCAAGCCAAUAUACCAACAUCAAAAGAGAAACGUAUUUAAAAGUUGCACUUGUACAAGUUUUAAGAUGCAGUUCUCCAUGCAAACAAUAUAUGCAAAAAUGCAUCUGUUAGGGGGAAAUGUGCAUAAAAUUGCAUGUAUUAGUAAAAAUAACAUACAAAAAUGCACUAUAUUA